rnacentral:piRNA from 1 species
UGCUAUUUCUGGUUGGCCCUAUAUGGUUC